GAUGACUCUCUAGCCUGUUCCCCGCAGGUAAACUGCAACAAAUUGAACUGAUUUGGAGAAACAAGUGGGUUACGUCUGAGCAGCUUCCUUGUUUGGUAGUCAGUUGGCUGAAGAGUGGUUGACGCUGAUGUUACUUAAUACUAAAUUUACCCUUCUGUGGCCCCUGGCAGAGAGAUCGGGGCAUUCAUCCUCCACUUUGCACAGGCUUGAGGGAACAACCUGGCUCCCAUCUUAGUUUUGAAGAACUUCAUUGCUGAAAAAUCAAAUGUGCACAUGUUCCCUAAGGAACGUAUCCAUUCAAAGGCAUGAAAUAUAAACGUAUAUUGUUACGUGCAAAUGCUUUGCACAAGUACAUUUGCUGGAUGCUUUUGGUAUGUUCUUCAAGCAAGUAGUGUCGUUAGCUGUUAAAUUCUUGACUCCUCUGUUAGGCUUGGGACAGAAAUUACACACAAGCUGGUCCAAGAGAUUGGAAACAGGUUCAGAUCUGGAACACAACAGAAGGAUGGUGCACGUAAGCCACUUUCAAGAUUGCCGAAACGGGUUUAAGAUAAGCCUGGAUGGAUGUAGUAUUAGACUUUAACUGAUUUAGAUUAAAUUGGUUUAUUGUACUUCUGACCCAGACCCUCUCCAGAUUCAUAUUAACACAUAGUCCCCCAGCAUCCCUGGACCUCUGCCAGCCUGCAAGGGAAAAACCACCUUUGCCCACAUUUUCCUCCAUUAAAAGACAAUCCACUCUUAAAGUUUGUUGAUCCAGUUUUAAAGUUUGUUCGUGACCCUUUCAUAGGCACUUGUGAGCCCCUUUUGGGACACAACCCGCAAACUGAGAACCGCUGCGGUAGAGCAGCAGGGUCGGUCGCGGAGCGCGCUGCUGCGGAGCGGAGGGGCAGUGCCGCUCAACCCUUUGAGACGGAUCCCACGUACCAGAUCAGACCUCUUUGUGGGCCAGAUGAAGCCUGUGGGCUGUAGAUUGCCACCCCUCUUAUAGCUCCUUUUCAGCUGGGGCUUUGCAGAUGCUUCUGUUACGUUGUUUCUACAUCGAAAGACUCAUGCUACAGGCAGGGUAGGCUUUCACCUCAUAGACUAAGUCAAUCAGAGGUGCGUAAGCUUUUGUAAGCUAGCUCGCUUCUUACCCCUUUCUUUUUCCUCCCUUCCCUACCCUUUGUUUUCCAGUAACUGCUCUCUGUUUAGAACCGCUGCUUCCUGAAACGUCUUGUUUGACAACAGAGCCGUCCAAUUUCUGAGUGGCUGGGGCUGCAGCCCCCCUAUCCGCAUGCUGUAGGGGCUGCAUGCCCACCAGAGCCGCAUCCUGCACGAGCUGAAAGGGGUCUGCAGGACCUCCCCAGCCACAGACUCCCUUGCACCAGGACUGUGCCGCCCUGCCUUGGCCCUAGUGCAGAAGGGGUGGCGGGGGGAAGUGGGCACGCAGGAAGCAGAUGCUGGGCUAGGGAAGGGGAUUUUGGUGGCAGCAGCAGCAGCGAAGCGAUGGGGCAAGCAGAUUUGGGACUGGGAGUGUGGGAGCUGCACACAGCCCACGGGCCGCCAGUUGGAUGGCCGUAACUGUUUGGCUUUCUGUGGUUUACUCUCCUUAUGUGCUGUCCCUAUAUUCAUUUGAGUUCUCGUUGAGUUUUCCUUUUCUUACUCCUUUUUUGAAACAUCUCCUAGGUUGAUCCUGAUGGUAAAACAAGCGUACCCGUUAAGAUGACUGCGGGGAAAGUAUCCUGUUUUCAUCUACGCGGCCUGCAAAAUCUUAAAAUCUUGAAGACCUGGACUUCUUCAGCUGUGACAUCACAAACCUGAAGGAUUACAGGGAAAGGAUUUUUGAGCUGCUUCAGGAGAUCACCUACCUGGAUUGAUUUGAUCAGGAAGAAGGGGAUGAGGAGGAUGAAGCAGAUGAAGAUGAAGCUGGUCCACCAGGAGAGUACAAAGAAGAUGAAGAUGGUGGAGGUUCAGAUUUGGGGGAGGGGGAAAAGGAGGAAGAAGCUGGCCUUUCAUACCUGAUGAUGGACAAGAUCCAGGUAGGACUUACCCUAUUCUACUGUAAGGCUCAGGAUUUUCUUGAUACUAUCUAGCUAUAAACGUGUAAUAUUUUAAACGUGUAUAAGCAUAAUCAUGUAAAUCCACUAUCAUAUGUGAGCGAUAGAGUACUUUAGAGAGAGACCUUUUACUAUCAAAGAAGUGCGUUACAGUAGGGGAACCACCGCUCUUUGGUAUUCUCCGUUACCUUGCUCAACAUGAAAUGCUGCAAGAUUCAUUACUUCACGGCCUUGUAGAAUUAGUAUCAUUCUACACCAGAUCACCAAGUCCAAUUUGGAGGAGAACGUGGCCGAAACAAAUCCACCUGCCCUACCAGGAUGCUCACAAGUGCCUGGGGCACUUGAGCCUUGAGAGCCAUGCCCUCACCAUGCAGAUCUGCAGGUUGUCAGGUGUGGGGCUGGGGCUUCCAGGCAUGGGGGAGAGGGUGAGUAUGGAGGAGCUAGGGCCUGAGGGUGCAGGGAGCUGAUCAGGAUGUGAGGGCUGAGGCAAAGGGGAGACAGGCUGGGAAUCCAGGAGUGAGGGCUGGCCACUGAGGAAGAAGUCAGGGAGAGGCUGGAGCUGUGGCCCUGGGAGUGCCGUGGGUUCGGCCAUGCAGGGGAGAGCUGGGGCAGGGAGCGGAGACUUGCCCUGGGUGGGAGCGCAUUGCCCUUGCCCUGGGUAGGAGCACAGGACCUUGAGCUGCUCUUAGUGGAGGGAGGUGGGUGGGGAGUUGGAUCCUGGCAUUUUGGGGAAGGAGAAGGGAUUGGACGCUCCUUUCACCCCACUUAUCUCAGGGCCCUUUUCUUUCCUAGCCAGGGGGGCAGAAAACCCGUGUGAUGUUUGCUGAGCUGACCUGCAGGGAGCCUGAUGGACCCAGGGGAUGGGAACGGGGCUGUGUCGGGUUCGCUGCUCUGGGAAGGAAGCGAGUUAGAGCAGAGCAGGCAUGAGGACCAGGACUUGCAGGUUGUGCCCUGCUCUGGCUCUUUGAAAGGAGUGCUGUCCAGCAUGCCAUAGUGAGGGGCAUGGUUUGGGAGGACUCCUGGGUCCUGUUUCUAGCUGAGGGAAGGAGGGCAGGGGGUGGGAGGAAGGCUCUGUGGCUCAGGACUCCUGGCUUCUUUUUGGGAUCUGUCACUUCCCCAGAAUGAACCCACAAAUGAUCUGUGCAUUGAAUCAAUUGAUCCCUUGGGUGAUGCUGUCAGCACGUACAUGGAGGUGAGUGGAAGCAGCGCGGUGGGAGGUGUCCACUGCCCUGAUCAGAGGAGGCCGGGGUUGGGGGAAUACUGGGCCCAUGGAUCGGAUUGAAGGGUGGAUGGCGAUACUGGGUUGGGGUGGCCUCAUGGGUCCCAUCUGUCAGGCAGAGGAAGGUAGUAAUAGGUGCAUGGGUCAGAUCUAGGCUGGCAUGGGGCUGCAGGGAAGCAGAAGGAUUACUUGGCUGGGGGUGGACCCGUGGGUCCCACGGGAGGGUUUGUAUACUACAAGCAGGGCCCUCCUGCUAGGGUCCCCGUUGGGUCCCAGUCAUGCCCUUCCCUGCCCAGCCCUGUCCUGGCAGUGGCUGAUGGGGAAAACGUGGGGUCUUUCCAUUCUCCUUCAGUAUGGAAAUGACCUCUGCUUUGCCUCCCAGCCCGCUCGUGCUUUGCCUCCUGUCUCUUCACAGCGGUUAUCAAUGUGAGCCAUGAUGCACGACUGAUCACGCAGACCAGCUGCCAGCUCUGGGUGGUGGAGGAGCAGUCCAUCAGCCAGAUCAACGGUGACUUCGACUGCAAGUGGGAGGUGCUGGAGGCCUCGGGCCAGGUCAGCAUUAACUGGCCCCGGGAGUGACCUUGCUGUGGGGAGGCUCCUCGAGGACCUGCCCAUCCCCUCUCAGAGACCUGCCUGCACAGCUUCACGUGCACCCACACCCAAAGGCCUCCGUGUAGAGGGGGCAGGGCCGCAGGCAUGGUUGUGGGUUGAACUUUGAAGAUGUGGGGUAGGGGCCUAAUGCAAGACAUGUUUAUUUUUAGAGCUGUUCUUCUACACCUGCUGCUUUCCCAGGAGAGAGAGACUUAAUUUAUAUGAAUGGGAGGGAGGGGGUUGUACUGGAAUGGUCUGUUUUAGGCAGGAGUGAGGGCUGUCCUUGUCCCAUUGCUGGGUUCCUUGCCCCCCAGUCUGGAGAAUGACGUGAGCCUUGUUUUGCAUCCACCCAAGAAGAUUAUAUUAAAAUAUAAUAAAGGAAAA